CCAGCCUGUGCCGCCGCCCCCCGUGUUACACGUGUCCCCGGGGAAAGAGCCCCAUUCCCCUCUCCUGGUCAGCCCCAGCUGAAGACCUUCCCCUGCUGCUCCCCCUGAUGUUACAGGGAGGAUCCCAUGCCCACUCCUCCUUUGUUUGACUGAGCCCCAGAGUGGGUCAGAGUGAGACUAACCUAGAGAAACCACCAGAGCAGCCAAGCAGGGCAUAUGGCCUCCUAAGCUGCCAGCACUAAGCUCUGAUUCACCCUGUCGUCUCUCUGUCCCAUGGUGUAUGUUAAACACAGGGUGCGUGAGAACAAUUUCUAGGUUAUUAUCCGGCUGCUGAACGCACAGGCAGGGAGAGGUACUUGUAGGGGACAAACAUAUACUGUGAAACAGUCAUUAUAUAAGAACUGUAUUUUUCAACAAGAAAUUUAGACUGUACCUAUCUUAGGAAAGACUAGAGCAUUUAUUUACUGUACCAUAUGGCUAUAGGGGGAAGGGAGGAAGAAAUGUCUGCCAAUUGCUAAACCAGUGGCAGAUAUAUGUAUUUCUUGGUUCAUUCAUUAUAUCCACGAGUCAGAAUAACACAAUGAAUGUUUAACAGGUUCAAAAAUUCAAAUGAUUCCCAUUAAUUUCCAUUGAUUAUUUUAGCCAUCACAUAUUUGUCUAUGGGACUUUCAAGGUUUUUUCACCAAUUAGGCUUGAGACGUUUUCCUUUUACUGCAUGAUCUGAACAGAGUUUAAAUGGUUCCAGAAAACACAUCAAUAUAACAAGCAAGGGUCUAUUCUCAGUACCAUGCUCAAAACACAAUAGUAAUUUUAUCACUCCCUUUUUUUUAUUUUAUACACUAAAAAAAUAACCAGAUUGAAAUUUGGUAAUUGUUGCUGACCCAUGUUCCUACCUCUGUUAAUAUCUAUGCAGAUCUUACAGUCAUUUAAAAAGGUCAUAGGAUUUAGUUUUAUUUUAAAUGACAACGUUUAUGCUUGUAAAGAAAAAAGCAUGCAGCAUAUGAUCCUAGAAAACAGUACUAAAAUUAAAUGCAAAGGGAUAUGUUAUUGCAAAAUUGAACAUGCAAAAAGUUACAAAAUUCAGUUAAGGUUCCCACAGCAACGAUAGAUUGGCCAUGGCACACACAUAACAGAUGUAAUAUUUUGGGGGCUGUGCUGGUAAAGAUAUGCUUUAAUAUGACAAAGUUAAUAUUGCAUUGGUGAUUUUAACCACAGAAUUUCCUGUGGACUUUCUUUCCUUAGUCUUGUGUGUUCAGCAUUAGCCAGAUGUAAAUUCUGAGUAAAUUAUUGAGAAUGCUGGGAGAUGGUGCUGUUUAGCUUUGACAUAAUGAGAUGGUAUUGCCUGUAUACUAGCUGUACUUUUAAUCUAUGUUGGUUCACCAGCUCUUCCAGUGAUUUAAAAAUAGAUGUUGAAUAACAAGAGGUGAUAAUACAUAGAUCCUUACUGAAUAAUGUGGGGGAGAGGCAUAGUUGCCCAUAACUACCCUCUGGUUCAGUUUGAAAGAACCUGAAACAUUUAAGGGCAUUCACCUUAGAUGUUUCUUUUCAGGAUAGGCAUAUUUGGUAUUCAGUGUCAUUGCACACCAUAAGUACAGAUGUACUUUAUCUCUUGGCAGGACUUCUCCCUCCUAUAGAAAAAUCCUUUGCACGUAAGAAGAGAGCCAUGACUUUGAUUCAUCUGCACCCACCUAAAGCCUAAUUUGCUUCCAAAGAGUUCUGAGUCUGAAUAGAAACACCAUAAAAUGGCUCGAGCCCAUUGUGGUUUGGAAACUGGAUACUCCUGAAAAUCUGACCCAAUUUAUUUUUAAAAGUUUAUUACCUUUGUUAUUAUUAUUUUGAAUUUGGUACUGUUUGCCAUUGGAACUACUGUUGCAGAAGUCAUGAAAGAGGAAGAACAGAAAUGUUUUAAAAUAAACACAGCAAAAAUAUGUGAGGAGAAUGUUCAGUUGAAAAGAGAGAAGUUUUUCAUCAGAUAAUUUCAACAGAGUGGCUGAAUAGGGAACACAAGGAAGCCAAUCACAACAGUCAUUUGCAUUAGCAAAAGAAGAUAUUGCAUUAGUAAAUUUGUUCUACACCUUUUUAAGUGACUGUGAGUGCCCACCAUUAAAAGUUUGUAAUAAUUUUGUCAGCCAUUUAGCAUAUUUCUCAAUGUAACACUUUUAUUAAAUACCUUUAGAUUAGGCAUCAUUUCACUGAUAUCAUAAUGCAGCGUGGGUUUAAUGAAAAAGAACAUAUGACAAUAACAGUAACAAUGUGAAAAGUAGCAGAAGUAAGAUGUUCUCUGGACUGUAUGCACAUAAUUCACUGUAUGUUGUCCCACUCUGGACCUAAAAUGGCUGUUUUGCAGGAUGCUGUUGCUUGGUGACCAAGAGUGCAUCUCCUAGGCCACAGAGAGAUGUGAACAUUCAGAGAUUGAUUCGUUCCUGCUGUUCUUGAGGAGACCAGGCCAGUAAAAUAGAAGUCUAUGUGUAACUAUCUACUAGUCCACUUGCCUGCACAUUUAAGUUGAUAUUUAAAACAGGCUUGUAAUUUUGUGAUGCUCACCAAACAAGCAAUGGGAAAAAUGGAAUAAAACCUAGCAUGUCACUGCCCAUGAAAUACAAAAAGUAGACCAAGCCUCUGUACUCUAAGCCUACAAGAUACCCUUGCUCCAAUUAAGUCUGCGUUGUAUGUCUAGUCUGUUCCGGUGCAACCUCCCAGUUGCUAUCAGUCUCUCUUUCUUUCAUUAGAAUCAAGUAGUUAAUUAGCCCCAGCCAGUCCUCUUCCCUUCU